GGCUGAUGGGAACUUCAGGUUCCAGGUCCGGGGCUUCAGUUUUCCACCAAUAUAUACAUCCCUAAACAACAUGACUUAGUUUUGAAACACUGAGCAGCAAGCACCAAUCUAGAAGAAUAAGGAAAGGGUGAUGUUACCACUGUUUGAGGAAGGCUCAGGAGGAGAAGAUAAACUGAACAGCCUCUCGGUCAUUGUCUGGCUUCAGCUUCCCUAAGCAUUUAUAAGAGCUUUUUAUGGGAAAAUCAUUGAGUAAGAUGAUGAGUAACACUGGGAAUCACUGGGCUCAGCACAGGUGAGACAUACGGUAACGCUGGAGAAUGGGCCGAGUUUUAGAUGUUUGGCCAGGAUAUAGUCAGAAGGAGAUGGCUGUUGUGUAUAUUCUGCUCAUCACGACUUCUCCUCCACUUCCCAGAAGAGGUCAAGGCAGAACAUUUCUGGAUGACACCCACAGUAGAUCAAGCAUCAGAGCACUCGAGGAAUGAGCAGGAACUUUAUCAGCAUGUGGUCAAAAUAAAGAAAGUACAAAGGAAAAAUCUGGGCCAGACUCUGGGUAUUGAGUCCUUGAUUUAAAAGUUAGCAUGAUGGCAGUGGGGAUGGUGGUGAUGGAAGCCCUCAGUGUGUCUCUCCCUGGAGUCCUGGUGUCCCACUUCUUCAGGCUGGACUUGUUUCCUUCUGCACCUAGUGCAUAACUGUCAUUCUGGACUCUCCCAUCACCCUUACCCUAGAGUCCCUUCACCACUCUCCUGUGUUUGAUUCCUACCUGUUGUGUCCCAUAUGUUCUUUCUUGG
rnacentral:lncRNA from 10 species